rnacentral:rRNA from 1 species
GUCUACAGCCAUACUACUCUGAACAUGCGCUGGAUCUCUUCUGAUCUCGGAAGCUAAACAGGGUUGGGCCUGGUUAGUACUUGGAUGGGAAAUUCUGCAUUAUGGUGAGUUGUAUAAU